rnacentral:rRNA from 1 species
GUGGGGAAUCUUCCGCAAUGGACGAAAGUCUGACGGAGCAACGCCGCGUGAGUGAUGAAGGUCUUCGGAUUGUAAAGCUCUGUUAAUCGGGACGAAAGAGCCUAGUGUGAAUAAUGCUAGGAAGUGACGGUACCGGAAUAGAAAGCCACGGCUAACUACGUGCCAGCAGCCGCGGUAAUACGUAGGUGGUAAGCGUUGUCCGGAAUUAUUGGGCGUAAAGCGCGCGCAGGCGGAUCUGCCAGUCUGUCUUAAAAGUUCGGGGCUUAACCCCGUGAUGGGAUGGAAACUACAGAUCUAGAGUAUCGGAGAGGAAAGUGGAAUUCCUAGUGUAGCGGUGAAAUGCGUAGAUAUUAGGAAGAACACCAGUGGCGAAGGCGACUUUCUGGACGAAAACUGACGCUGAGGCGCGAAAGCCAGGGGAGCGAACGGGAUUAGAAACCCCGGUAGUCC